rnacentral:lncRNA from 1 species
CAGUCAUCUACUGGGAGGAAGAUAAGCAAGUAUGAGAAAAUACUGCUGGAAAUUAAAAAAAAAGGAAUGUUGUUUAGGUGACAAAAUUGAAAGACAGGAUGUGUACUGUGACACCUAUGUCAAGCCAAUGGCAGCAGGUAGAACAGAGAAGAAACACCAACUGUGGGAACUCUGAGAAAAUUACUGACUUUUGACAGACGUAAAGAUGUCCUCAUCCGUCUAUGUAUAUCUAUAACUUUGAAAUCCUAAAUAGACAUUGUAGUUAUUAAGUGAUCUUCUAAAGGUUUAUGAAGUAUUAGUAAAGCAGAAUCAUUACAGGAAGUCAUACACUCAGAAGGAAAAUAAAAUGAGCUGAGUUAAAAGAAUGGUGAUUAAAAUUUAUAUAUCCAUUUUAUAAUUCUUCAAUUAUUUUCAUGAGACUACUCUAACAUCUGUGUAUAAAAAAUUUCAUUACAAACACAAGACACAUAGGGGCCUCUAUAGACUCACAAAUAAAAUGAAAAUUAUGCACAACUGAGAAAUCAGAAGCAUGUUAAUGAUUAUUCGUUUUGUUCAUUGUGAGAUGGAUAAUUGGCAAACUGAAUAUUCUCUUCCAUAAUUUUUCAUUAAAGAAACUUUUUUUUUCAAACUAGCAGCUUGUUUUAAAGAGAGUAGGGCCAAUGAUAUGCUCUGAAAAUGUGUUCAUAGAUGGUAUCUAGCUCUAAUUACUGAUAGCAGCCACUCAGGACAAAUAAACAAUUAUCUCUCAGUACGUAGGUAAAACAGAGUAAAAAUCAAACUUCGACCUUGUUUCUAAUGAACAUUAUCAUAUUAUUGCCCAUUGCCUUUGCAUGGCCUUUUUGUCUGCGGGGGUGUGGGAGGGGUGGGGAAUGUCCACAUUGUGAACAUUGACUCUCCAAUGUGGAAAUCAGAAAUAAAUUCUCAGCCUCCCUUGCAGAUAGGAAGAAGGUAUAUGACCUGAGUGCUGCAAUCAGACAGACCUGAUUCCCAGUGGGUGCAAGGCUGAGUUUC